rnacentral:rRNA from 1 species
AGUGAACGCUGGCGGUAGGCCUAACACAUGCAAGUCGAACGGCAGCACAGUAAGAGCUUGCUCUUACGGGUGGCGAGUGGCGGACGGGUGAGGAAUACAUCGGAAUCUACUUUUUCGUGGGGGAUAACGUAGGGAAACUUACGCUAACACCGCAUACGACCUACGGGUGAAAGCAGGGGAUCUUCGGACCUUGCGCGAUUGGAUGAGCCGAUGUCGGAUUAGCUAGUUGGCGGGGUAAAGGCCCACCAAGGCGACGAUCCGUAGCUGGUCUGAGAGGAUGAUCAGCCACACUGGAACUGAGACACGGUCCAGACUCCUCCGGGAGGCAGCAGUGGGGAAUAUUGGACAAUGGGCGCAAGCCUGAUCCAGCCAUACCGCGUGGGUGAAGAAGGCCUUCGGGUUGUAAAGCCCUUUUGUUGGGAAAGAAAAGCAGCAGGUUAAUACCCCGCUGUUCUGACGGUACCCAAAGAAUAAGCACCGGCUAACUUCGUG